GGUGAACGCUGGCGGCGUGCUUAAGACAUGCAAGUCGAACGCAGUCUUCGGAUUGAGUGGCGCACGGGUGAGUAACACGUAACUGACCUACCCCCAAGUCGCGGACUACUGGCCGAAAGGUCAGCUAAUACGUGAUGUGAUGUCCCCUUUCUGGGGGGCCAUUAAAGGUUUACUGCUUGGGGAUGGGGUUGCGUUCCAUCAGCUAGUUGGCGGGGUAAAGGCCCACCAAGGCAACGACGGAUAGCCGGCCUGAGAGGGUGGCCGGCCACAGGGGCACUGAGACACGGGUCCCACUCCUACGGGAGGCAUCAGUUAGGAAUCUUCCACAAUGGGCGAAAGCCUGAUGGAGCGACGCCGCGUGAGGGAUGAAGGUUCUCGGAUCGUAAACCUCUGAAUCAGGGACGAAAGACGCGUAAGCGGGAUGACGGUACCUGAGUAAUAGCACCGGCUAACUCCGUGCCAGCCGCCGCGGUAA
rnacentral:rRNA from 1 species